AGUGAACGCUGGCGGUAGGCCUAACACAUGCAAGUCGAACGGCAGCACAGUAAGAGCUUGCUCUUACGGGUGGCGAGUGGCGGACGGGUGAGGAAUACAUCGGAAUCUACUUUAUCGUGGGGGAUAACGUAGGGAAACUUACGCUAAUACCGCAUACGACCUACGGGUGAAAGCAGGGGAUCUUCGGACCUUGCGCGAUUGAAUGAGCCGAUGUCGGAUUAGCUAGUUGGCGGGGUAAAGGCCCACCAAGGCGGCGAUCCGUAGCUGGUCUGAGAGGAUGAUCAGCCACACUGGAACUGAGACACGGUCCAGACUCCUACGGGAGGCAGCAGUGGGGAAUAUUGGACAAUGGGCGCAAGCCUGAUCCAGCCAUACCGCGUGGGUGAAGAAGGCCUUCGGGUUGUAAAGCCCUUUUGUUGGGAAAGAAAAGCAGCAGGUUAAUACCCCGCUGUUCUGACGGUACCCAAAGAAUAAGCACCGGCUAACUUCGUG
rnacentral:rRNA from 1 species